rnacentral:rRNA from 1 species
CAGUCGCCGCGGUAAUACGUAGGGUGCAAGCGUUAAUCGGAAUUACUGGGCGUAAAGCGUGCGCAGGCGGUUUUGCAAGUCAGAUGUGAAAUCCCCGGGCUCAACCUGGGAACUGCAUUUGAAACUACAAGGCUAGAGUGUGUCAGAGGGGGGUAGAAUUCCACGUGUAGCAGUGAAAUGCGUAGAGAUGUGGAGGAAUACCGAUGGCGAAGGCAGCCCCCUGGGAUAACACUGACGCUCAUGCACGAAAGCGUGGGGAGCAAACAGGAUUAGAUACCCGCGUAGUCCCUGUCUCUUAUAA